rnacentral:lncRNA from 1 species
UAAAAAAUAAACAGCUUCUAGAUGCAUUGAUCUUUUGAAAGACUUUUCAUGUCUCUAUCUCCUUCAGUUAAGCUCUGAUUUGGGUUAUUUCUUGUCUUCUGCUAGCUUUGUCAACCCCUGCUUUGAUGGCCCUCCCUGGGUAAUCUAAUGAACAAUUACCUAAGUUGCUUCCACUUACAGGGUGGUGACAGAUAAUUAAUGUCCAAACCCAAUUUCAAAUAUCUUUUCAGCUCCAGCCCUGAAUCUGUUUACUCACUAGUCCUUAUCACUUGAGGGAUUCUCAGACACCUUAGAUCUAACACUUUCAGAUGAGACCCUUUCCUGCAGAGCCUGCUCCUUCUCCUAUGGUCUCCACUGAGUGCCUGGUACCACCACGCAACCACCCAACUGCCUAUGUCAGGACUAGAAGCAUUACCCUAGUUUCUCCCUAACCCCGGCCCUUAUUCAAUGCAUCAAUCACCAAUCUCUGUGAACUUCAUCUUCUUAGUAUCUCUCAUCUCAGAAUACCUGGCCCUGCUUGCCGCCAUUGUCACAGCAUUUGAUCAGGCCCUUAUCACCUUUCCCUGAGACAACUGCAAUAGAGUCAAAAGGUCUCGCUGCCUGCAUCUCCAGUCAGUUCUUCAUAUUGAGGCUGGAAUAAUAUUAUAAAAAUGCACAUUAUAUUAUUCCCUUGCUUUAAAGUCAUCAACGGCAACCACGGUUCACAGGCUAAAGUCCAAACUCUUGUGAAGCCCUCUAGUAUCUCAUCUUUCUGCCUUUCAGCUUUACCUCUUGCUCUUCCUCUUGUGCUUCAUAUCUCACCGAUACCAAACUACUUACAAUCCUACAAUCUCCUUAUGUGGUUUCAACCUCCAUGCUUUACCUCAUCAUGUUCUCUCCGCUUGAGAUGCCUUUCAACACCACCCCCACACCUUCACUCCUCGUACAAGUCGCAAUUUAUGGGUUAACUUGUCUUUGAAGUUCUUUUUUACUCAUCACCCUUCCUCUGCCCCAAAUAGAACUGACUUUUUUUCCCUUUAUGUCCCUACUGCUUCCAAUACAGGCUAUUUUUCAUAGCCCUUUUAGUAUAGUAAGCCCACAAGUCUAGCACAAUGCUUGCUUAUCUGAUUCUUUGAUAGACACAAACAUAAUUCAUGGACCGUGAAUUAUGGACCAUGAGUGCCUGUGGCUAAAUGUUGGAAAAGUGGAAAGGGUCAUCUCUGCCCUCAUAGCUUACUUAUAGUCACAAAAUAAAAACUUGCAGUCCAAAAGUCAAAAGCACUCCCAAGCCCACUCUGUGUCACAGAUGUCACAGAUGAUAUGGAUUUACCCUGAAAUUGACAUAGUUUAAGCCAGUUUGACGUAGUUUAAGGGAUCUGAUUUAUAGACCUCCUAAAGUCCUGUGC